rnacentral:lncRNA from 1 species
UGCCUCUAUGUUUGCCUGCUCCAGCUAUGGAAAGAUUUGUGAAAGAACUUGAUGCUUUGUUGAAGGCAGAAAAAAGCAUUGAUAGAGUUGAAAAUCAGAAGCCAUUGUUCAUUGCAUCUGCUCUAUAAUUAGGGAAACCAAUAAAACCCUUCAAAAAAGAACUCUUGAUUAUUAUAGCCAUAAUACAAAUAAGAAGAAUAAUAUACAAUGAGGUAUGAGGUAGUGUGUAAUACAUGUCGUGUAAUGUUUUAUAAGGUUUGUAAUUUAUAAAAUUUUGUGUUUAUUUGUAACUUAUUACCUUAUUAGUUUGGAUUUAUAUAUGAUGGAAAACGCAUCAACUCUCAAUAAACUUUCUCUUUUUUCUUUUGAACUUUUU